rnacentral:rRNA from 1 species
ACGACCAUACCACAUUGAAAACACCGGUUCUCGUCCGAUCACCGAAGUUAAGCAAUGUCGGGCCUGGUCAGUACUUGGGAGGGUGAUCACCUGGGAAAACUGGGUGUAGCUGUAGGCU